CCCUUAGAUGUUCUGGGCCGCACGCGCGCUACACUGAACAGUUCAACAAGUCUUAACCUUGGCCGAUAGGUCUGGGUAAUCUUUGAACGCUGUUCGUGAUUGGGAUAGACCUUUGCAAUUAUGGGUCUUCAGCGAGGAAUUCCUAGUAAACGCAAGUCAUCAGCUUGCAUUGAUUACGUCCCUGCCCUUUGUACACACCGCCCGUCGCACCUACCGAUUGAAUGGUCCGGUGAAAUCUCGGGACGGCGGCUUGGUCGCUUGCGUCCGACUGCUGAAACUUGAUUAAACCAUAUCAUUUAGAGGAAGGUGAAGUCGUANCA
rnacentral:rRNA from 1 species